GACGUAGGGGACGAGCGUUGUCCGGAUUCAUUGGGCGUAAAGAGCGCGUAGGCGGCUACGCAAGUCGGUUGUGAAAACCCGGGGCUCAACCCCGGGCCUGCAUCCGAUACUGCGUGGCUAGAGGUAGGUAGGGGAGAUCGGAAUUCCUGGUGUAGCGGUGAAAUGCGCAGAUAUCAGGAGGAACACCGGUGGCGAAGGCGGAUCUCUGGGCCUUACCUGACGCUGAGGCGCGAAAGCUAGGGGAGCGAACAGG
rnacentral:rRNA from 1 species